AGGCAAAAGAAAUCAAGGAAUUAUGCGACCAUGAAGCCAAUGCUUAGUCUCAGAGAUCAGAGGCUUGAAGAAAGGGAUAGAUUAAAACCUAAAAAGGAAGAAAAGAAAGAUUCCAACAUACUAAAGGAAAGAGAAGUUCCUCAACACCCUUCCUGCUUAUUUUUCCAAUAUAAUACACAGCUGGGCCACCUUACCACAUUCUUGUUGAUUCCAACUUUAUCAACUUUUCCAUUAAAGCCAAACCAGACUUAGUGCAGUCAAUGACGGACUGUCUGUAGGCCACGUGUAUCCCUUAUAUAACUGAUUGUGUAAUGGCUGAAAUUGAGAAAUUGGGGCAGAAGUAUUGAGUGGCUCUAAGAAUCUCCAAGGAUCCAAGGUUUGAAUGAUUACCAUGCACACACAAAGGAACCUAUGCAGAUGACUGCUUAGUACAGAGAGAAACUCAGCACAAAUGGUACAUUGUGGCCACGGUUGACCAGGACCCUAAAAGAAGAAUCUGUAAGAUUCUGGGAGUUCCUAUCACGUACAUUUCUAACCAUAGAUAUAACAUCGAAUGAAUGCCAGAUGAUUAUGGAGUCCUUGGGUU
rnacentral:lncRNA from 1 species